rnacentral:rRNA from 1 species
GUGCCAGCAGCCGCGGUAAUACGAGUACCCCAAGCGUUAUCCGGAUUUAUUGGGCGUAAAGCGUACGUAGGCGGUUUGUAACAUCUCUUGUUAAAUCCCAAGGCUCAACCUUGGGGCUGCGGGAGAUAUGGAUAAACUAGAGACUGGAAGAGGUAAGCGGAAUUGCUGGUGUAGGGGUUAAAUCCGUUAAUAUCAGCAGGAACACCAAAAGCGAAGGCAGCUUACUAGGACAGAUCUGACGCUCAGGUACGAAAGCGUGGGGAGCGAAUGGGAUUAGAUACCCCCGUAGUCC